AGGGCACCACCAGGAGUGGAGCCUGCGGCUUAAUUUGACUCAACACGGGGAAACUUACCCGGCCUGGACACUGGAAGGAUUGACAGAUUGAGAGCUCUUUCUUGAUUCAGUGGGUGGUGGUGCAUGGCCGUUCUUAGUUGGUGGAGCGAUUUGUCUGGUUAAUUCCGAUAACGAACGAGACUCUAGCCUAUUAAAUAGGCUCCCGGCUUUUAAACGCCGGGAGGACUUCUUAGAGGGACAGGUGGCGGUUCAGCCGCACGAAAGAGAGCAAUAGCAGGUCUGUGAUGCCCUUUGUUGUCCGGGGCCGCACGCGCGCUACACUGAAGAGAUCAGCGUGCUUUAUGUUCCUGCUCCGACCGGAGUGGAGAACCCAGUGAACCUUCUUCGUGAUUGGGAUAGAAGAUUGUAAUUAUUCUUCUUGAACGAGGAAUUCCCAGUAAAUGCGAGUCAUAAGCUCGCGUUGAUUACGUCCCUGCCCUUUGUACACACCGCCCGUCGCUACUACCGAUUGAACGAUUU
rnacentral:rRNA from 1 species